rnacentral:rRNA from 1 species
GUGCCAGCCGCCGCGGUAAUACGUAGGGUGCGAGCGUUAAUCGGAAUUACUGGGCGUAAAGCGUGCGCAGGCGGCUACAUAAGACAGCUGUGAAAGCCCCGGGCUUAACCUGGGAACUGCGGUUGUGACUGUGUGGCUAGAGUGUGGCAGAGGGGGGUGGAAUUCCACGUGUAGCAGUGAAAUGCGUAGAGAUGUGGAGGAACACCGAUGGCGAAGGCAGCCCCCUGGGUCGCCACUGACGCUCAUGCACGAAAGCGUGGGGAGCAAACAGGAUUAGAUACCCGUGUAGUCC